AUUGAACGCUGGCGGCAUGCCUUACACAUGCAAGUCGAACGGUAACGCGGGGCAACCUGGCGACGAGUGGCGAACGGGUGAGUAAUGCAUCGGAACGUGCCCAGUAGUGGGGGAUAGCCCGGCGAAAGCCGGAUUAAUACCGCAUACGACCUAUGGGUGAAAGCGGGGGACCGUAAGGCCUCGCGCUAUUGGAGCGGCCGAUGUCAGAUUAGGUUGUUGGUGGGGUAAAAGCCUACCAAGCCGACGAUCUGUAGCUGGUCUGAGAGGACGACCAGCCACACUGGGACUGAGACACGGCCCAGACUCCUACGGGAGGCAGCAGUGGGGAAUUUUGGACAAUGGGGGCAACCCUGAUCCAGCCAUGCCGCGUGCGGGAAGAAGGCCUUCGGGUUGUAAACCGCUUUUGUCAGGGAAGAAACGCUCUGAGUUAAUACCUCGGGGUAAUGACGGUACCUGAAGAAUAAGCACCGGCUAACUACGUGCCAGCAGCCGCGGUAAUAC
rnacentral:rRNA from 1 species